GUCCCCUUCGUCUAGCGGCCUAGGACACCGCCCUUUCAAGGCGGCAGCGCCGGUUCGAAUCCGGUAGGGGAUG
rnacentral:tRNA from 1 species